rnacentral:rRNA from 1 species
GGACUACCAGGGUAUCUAAUCCCGUUCGCUCCCCUGGCUUUCGCACCUGAGCGUCAGGCGCCAGCCAGGACCCUGCCUUCGCCAUUGGUGUUCCUCCGGAUCUCUACGCAUUUCACCGCUCCACCCGGAAUUCCAGGUCCCUCUCUGGCCCUCCAGUCAAGCAGUCUGUGCGACCCUUGGGCAGUUAAGCCGCCCACUGUCCCCGCACUCUUACUCGACCGCCUGCGUGCGCUUUACGCCCAGUAACUCCGGACAACGCUUGCCCCCUACGUAUUACCGCGGCUGCUGGCAC